GUCAAAAGCGUCACUUUGUUUGGUUUUCAAUUUAUGAUCCGAUCACCGAAGUUAAACUACGUCGGGCCGGGUUAGUACUUCCAUGGGUGACCGGCUGGGAAUACCCGGUGUUGCUGACU
rnacentral:rRNA from 1 species